CUUCUUAUUAAUUAAAGUGCUAUAUCACUUGUGGGACCUUAUGGAUUUAAAUAGAGCGUAAAAAGUUAGUUAAUAAUAAGUUCAAAAGCUUUUUUUGAUUUAGUGCAAUAAUUUCGAAGAUACAGGUCUCUAAACUACCUACGGUUCCUGAGUCCCAGGCUCCUAUGCACAAUGGACAGUUUCGAAAAAGGCCAAAUUCAAUAGCCGUGUUUAGACCCCAGGAGGCUGGGACUCAGGAACAGUACGUUAUUUAAAGGCCUAUACCCUCAAAACUAUUGCACCAAAUCAAAAUAAGCUAUUGAACUUAUUAGUUAAUUUUUUACGCUCUUUUCAAAUCAAUAAAGGUCCCACAAGUGAUAUAGGCACUUUAAAUAGUACAUACCGCACUCACUGUAGAGUAGAGUAGACUCAUUAGAGUUUGAAGUAAUGUCUGUGAAUGGCCUUAAAAUUGCACUGUAUCAC